UGCCAGCAGCCGCGGUAAUACGGAGGGUGCAAGCGUUGUUCGGAAUUAUUGGGCGUAAAGCGUACGUAGGCGGCUUGACAAGUCAGAAGUGAAAGCCCAGGGCUCAACCCUGGAAUUGCUUUUGAAACUGUCUCGCUAGAAUCCGAGAGAGGCCAGCGGAAUUUCCAGUGUAGAGGUGGAAUUCGUAGAUAUUGGAAGGAACACCAGUGGCGUAGGCGGCUGGCUGGAUCGGUAUUGACGCUCAGGUACGAAGGCGUAGGUAGCGAACAGGAUUAGAUA
rnacentral:rRNA from 1 species